GGGGAAUAUUGCACAAUGGGGGAAACCCUGAUGCAGCGACGCCGCGUGGAGGAAGAAGGUCUUCGGAUUGUAAACUCCUGUUGUUGAGGAAGAUAAUGACGGUACUCAACAAGGAAGUGACGGCUAACUACGUGCCAGCAGCCGCGGUAAAACGUAGGUCACAAGCGUUGUCCGGAAUUACUGGGUGUAAAGGGAGCGCAGGCGGGCGAUCAAGUUGGAAGUGAAAUCCAUGGGCUCAACCCAUGAACUGCUUUCAAAACUGGUCGUCUUGAGUAGUGCAGAGGUAGGCGGAAUUCCCGGUGUAGCGGUGGAAUGCGUAGAUAUCGGGAGGAACACCAGUGGCGAAGGCGGCCUACUGGGCACCAACUGACGCUGAGGCUCGAAAGUGUGGGUAGCAAACAGGAUUAGAUACCCUGGUAGUCCACACCGUAAACGAUGAUUACUAGGUGUUGGGAGAUUGACCCUCUCAGUGCCGCAGUUAACACAAUAAGUAAUCCACCUGGGGAGUACGACCGCAAGGUUGAAACUCAAAGGAAUUGACGGGGGCCCGCACAAGCAGUGGAGUAUGUGGUUUAAUUCGACGCAACGCGAAGAACCUUACCAAGUCUUGACAUCCUCUGACGAACGUAGAAAUACGUUUUCUCUUCGGAGCAGAGAGACAGGUGGUGCAUGGUUGUCGUCAGCUCGUGUCGUGAGAUGUUGGGUUAAGUCCCGCAACGAGCGCAACCCCUAUUGUUAGUUGCUACGCAAGAGCACUCUAGCGAGACUGCCGUUGACAAAACGGAGGAAGGUGGGGACGACGUCAAAUCAUCAUGCCCCUUAUGACCUGGGCUACACACGUAAUACAAUGGCGGUCAACAAAGGGAUGCAAAGCCGCGAGGCAGAGCGAACCCCAAAAAGCCGUCCCAGUUCGGAUCGCAGGCUGCAACCCGCCUGCGUGAAGUCGGAAUCGCUAGUAAUCGUGGGUCAGCAUACCACGGUGAAUACGUUCCCG
rnacentral:rRNA from 1 species